CUACCUACGGGGGGCAGCAGUGGGGAAUAUUGCACAAUGGGGGAAACCCUGAUGCAGCGACGCCGCGUGAGUGAAGAAGUAUUUCGGUAUGUAAAGCUCUAUCAGCAGGGAAGAAAAAAGACGGUACCUGACUAAGAAGCCCCGGCUAACUACGUGCCAGCAGCCGCGGUAAUACGUAGGGGAAAGCGUUAUCCGGAUUUACUGGGUGUAAAGGGAGCGAAGACGGCGCGGCAAGUCUGAAGGGAAAGGCAGGGGCU
rnacentral:rRNA from 1 species